AUUGAACGCUGGCGGCGUGCCUAACACAUGCAAGUCGAGCGGCAGCGCGGGAGCAAUCCUGGCGGCGAGCGGCGGACGGGUGAGUAACGCUUGGGAAUCUGCCUAUUAGUGGGGGACAACCCGGGGAAACUCGGGCUAAUACCGCAUACGCACUACGGUGGAAAGCCGGGGACCGCAAGGCCUGGCGCUAACAGAUGAGCCCAAGUCGGAUUAGCUAGUUGGUAGGUAACGGCCUACCAAGGCGACGAUCCGUAACUGGUCUGAGAGGACGACCAGUCACACCGGAACUGAGACACGGUCCGGACUCCUACGGGAGGCAGCAGUGGGGAAUAUUGGACAAUGGGGGAAACCCUGAUCCAGCG
rnacentral:rRNA from 1 species